rnacentral:rRNA from 1 species
AUUGAACGCUGGCUGCAGGCCUAACACAUGCAAGUCUAACGAGUGGCGGACGGGUGAGUAAUGUCUGGGAAACUGCCUGAUGGAGGGGGAUAACUACUGGAAACGGUAGCUAAUACCGCAUACCAUCGGAUGUGCCCAGAUGGGAUUAGCUAGUAGGUGGGGUAAAGGCUCACCUAGGCGACGAGCCCUAGCUUGUCUGAGCGGAUGACCAGCCACACUGGAACUGAGACCAGGUCCAGACUCCUACGGGAGGCAGCAGUGGGGAAUAUUGCACAAGGGGCGCAAGCCUGAUGCAGCCAUGCCGCGUGGAUGGAGAAGGCCGUCGGGUUGUAAAGUACUUUCAGCGGGGAGGCGUUACCCGCAGAAGAAGCACCGGCUAACUCCGUGCCAGCAGCCGCGGUAAUUC